UAGUCUAGUGGUUAAGGCUAUGGAUCGCCAAUCCGGAGACGACGGGUUCGAUUCCCGU
rfam:Aedes albopictus isolate Foshan contig80379, whole genome shotgun sequence.